rnacentral:lncRNA from 1 species
UAUUAUAUUCCGUAAUUGAAUCACAAUUUUUUUUUUUUAUUUUGAAAAAAAGAUAGCAAGCUAGCUGCUUCAUUCAUAAAGCAUGAUGAAUUAAGCGUACAGGAUGGAAGCAACUACGGCCUCUGAGAACAAAAAGGUGAAAACAGAGAUAGAAGAAAAUAAAAGAAGCAAAAGUUAAAAGAGGAAGGGCAAGAGAAUAGUUAGGGAGGGACAUGGUCAAGAGAGUAUACUCCAGUCACUUAUCAAUCUGUUGAUGCGUUCAAGAGAUCGAAUUGCGUCGGGGGAUGUGGCCCGAAAGAUAGUCGAGUUUCUAUCUGUCGAGACGAUCCACA